AUCUAAGCGCGAAGCCAACUUCAAGAUAAGAUUUCCCACCGCAAGGGUAAGACCCCAGAAAGACUAUCUGGUUGAUAGGUCGAAGGUGUAAGUGCAGCAAUGUAUUUAGCUUAUCGAUACUAAUAGGUCGAGGACUUGACCAAUAUUUAUU
rnacentral:rRNA from 1 species